GCGUGAGGUCGAUGGUUCGAGUCCAUUUAGGCCCAUCCACGGCCGCACAGACCGGAGUAACAUGGGGAAUUAGCUCAGAUGGGAGAGCACCUGCUUUGCAAGCAGGGGGUCAGCGGUUCGAUCCCGCUAUUCUCCAUUGACACGCAAGUGUCAAACUUGGUUCUUUGAAAACUAGAUAAUAUUAAUUUUCUGUAAUAAUUUUUUGAAAUUGGAUUUCAUAUAAUUUCCACCGAAAACACCGCGUUAUUUUGAGUUUGUUAACUAAAAAAAAACUCAAAAACUCAAUUUUAUUUGCAUCACCUCUCGAGGUACAGGUUAAAUUUAAAAAGGGGCAUGGGGAAAGCGUUGGGACUAGAAACCCAUAAAAGAGGGGACUAAAACCCAUAUGCUUCUGGGAGAUGUACGUAAACUUUUAUCCCGAGAUUUUCCAAAGGGGAAACCCCCCACCUUUUAUCACCUGUUACUAUAUAUUGAAUUCUUAUCUAUAUAUAGGUAUACAUGGGGAAAUGAAACAUCUCACUACCCCCAGGAGCACAAAGAAAUUUUUAUUCCCUAAAUAUCGGCGAGAGAACGGGGAACAGCCCAAACCCACGAGCUUGCUCGCUGGGGUUGUAUGACUGAACAUUUGAGUUACCCAAGUUGUUGAUAAUCUCACAAUCUGGGAAAGUUGGCGAAACACGGUGAGAGCCCCGUAUGUGAAAUCUCUGACCCUCACUUCACGAGACUGAGUACAGCGACACACGUGAAACGUCUUCUGAGUCCCGGAGGACCCUCUCCCAAGCUAUAUACUCUCUAUUGACAGAUAGUGAAAACUACGAGGGGGGGG
rnacentral:sRNA from 2 species